UCGCCUGACGAUGAGCCCGCGUCCCAUUAGCUAGUUGGUGAGGUAACGGCUCACCAAGGCGGAGAUGGGUAGCUGGUCUGAGAGGAUGAUCAGCCACACUGGGACUGAGACACGGCCCAGACUCCUACGGGAGGCAGCAGUCGGGAAUUUUGGGCAAUGGGCGAAAGCCUGACCCAGCAACGCCGCGUGAGCGAUGAAGGCCUUCGGGUUGUAAAGCUCUGUGGGGGGAGACGAAUAAGGUGCAGCUAAUACCUGCAUCGAUGACGGUAUCCCCUUAGCAAGCACCGGCUAACUCUGUGCCAGCAGCCGCGGUAAGACAGAGGGUGCAAACGUUGUUCGGAAUUACUGGGCGUAAAGCGCGUGUAUGCGGCUGCGUGUGUCGGGCGUGAAAUCCCAUGGCUCAACCAUGGAAGUGCACCCGAAACUGCGCAGCUAGAGUCCUGUAGAGGAAAGUGGAAUGCUUGGUGUAGAGGUGAAAUUCGUAGAUAUCAAGCGGAACACCGGUGGCGAAAGCGGCCUUCUUGGACAGUGACUGACGCUGAGACGCGAAAGCGUGGGGAGCAACAGGAUUAGAUACCCUGUUAGUCCACGCGUAACGAUGGAGUGCUAGUGUCACGGCCUUUGACCCUCGUGAUGCCGAAGCUACGCCGUUAAGCACUCCGCCUGGGGGUUACCGCCGCAGGCUAAAACUCCAAGGAAAUUGACUGGGCCCGGCACAAACGGUGAAGCAUGUUGUUUUAUUUCCAACGC
rnacentral:rRNA from 1 species